rnacentral:rRNA from 1 species
AUUGAACGCUGGCGGCAGGCCUAACACAUGCAAGUCGAGCGGAUGAAGGGAGCUUGCUCCUGGAUUCAGCGGCGGACGGGUGAGUAAUGCCUAGGAAUCUGCCUGGUAGUGGGGGAUAACGUCCGGAAACGGGCGCUAAUACCGCAUACGUCCUGAGGGAGAAAGUGGGGAAUCUUCGGACCUCACGCUAUCAGAUGAGCCUAGGUCGGAUUAGCUAGUUGGUGGGGUAAAGGCCUACCAAGGCGACGAUCCGUAACUGGUCUGAGAGGAUGAUCAGUCACACUGGAACUGAGACACGGUCCAGACUCCUACGGGAGGCAGCAGUGGGGAAUAUUGGACAAUGGGCGAAAGCCUGAUCCAGCCAUGCCGCGUGUGUGAAGAAGGUCUUCGGAUUGUAAAGCACUUUACGUUGGGAGGAAGGGCAGUAAGUUAAUACCUUGCUGUUUUGACGUUACCAACAGAAUAAGCACCGGCUAACUUCGUG